AAGCUGGAAUCGCUAGUAAUCGCGAAUCAGAAUGUCGCGGUGAAUACGUUCCCGGGUCUUGUACACACCGCCCGUCACACCAUGGGAGUCGGGAAUGCCCGAAGUCAGUGACCCAACCUAUUGGAGGGAGCUGCCGAAGGCAGGUCUGAUAACUGGGUGAAGUCGUAACAAGGUAAC
rnacentral:rRNA from 1 species